rnacentral:rRNA from 1 species
UACAGAGGGUGCGAGCGUUAAUCGGAAUUACUGGGCGUAAAGCGCGCGUAGGCGGCUUUGCAAGUCGGGUGUGAAAUCCCCAGGCUUAACCUGGGAACUGCAUUCGAGACUGCAUUGCUAGAGUAUGGGAGAGGGAAGUGGAAUUUCCGGUGUAGCGGUGAAAUGCGUAGAUAUCGGAAGGAACACCAAUGGCGAAGGCAGCACCCUGGGCCGGUACUGACGCUGAGGAGCGAAAGCGUGGGGAGCAAACAGG